rnacentral:rRNA from 1 species
GACGAACGCUGGCGGCGUGCUUAACACAUGCAAGUCGAACGAAGUGGCGAACGGGUGAGUAACGCGUAAUCAACCUGCCCUUCAGAGGGGGACAACAGUUGGAAACGACUGCUAAUACCGCAUACUGAAGGAGGGGAUUGCGUCUGAUUAGCUAGUUGGAGGGGUAACGGCCCCCCAAGGCGAUGAUCAGUAGCCGGUCUUGGGUGAAGAACGGCCACAUUGGGACUGGAGCACGGCCCAGAAUCCUCCGGGAGGCAGCAGUGGGGGAUCUUCCGCAAUGGACGAAAGUCUUACGGAGCAACGCCGCGGGAGUGAUGACGGCCUUCGGGUUGUAAAGCUCUGUUAAUCGGGGCGCGGUACCGGCAUAUAAAGCCCCGGCUAACUACGUGCCAGCCGCCGCGGUAAUAC